GGUAGCUCAGUGGUAGAGUGCUUGCCUAGCGUGCAUGAAGUCCUGGGUUCGAUUCCUCAGUACCA
rnacentral:tRNA from 1 species